CUAGCCGUAAACGAUGGACACUAGGUGUCGGGGGUGUCGACUCCCCCGGUGCCGAAGCUAACGCAUUAAGUGUCCCGCCUGGGGAGUACGGCCGCAAGGCUAAAACUCAAAGGAAUUGACGGGGGCCCGCACAAGCAGUGGAGCAUGUGGUUUAAUUCGACGCAACGCGAAGAACCUUACCUGGGCUUGACAUGUACGUGGUAGGAAGCGGAAACGUAACCGACCCCUCGGGGAGCGUACACAGGUGG
rnacentral:rRNA from 1 species